CCCUUAGAUGUCUUGGGCCGCACACGCGCUACAAUGAUGCAACCAACGAGUGCUGCUCCUUGGCCGAGAGGCCCGGGGAACCUUGCAAACUGCAUCGUGCUGGGGAUAGAUGAUUGCAAUUCUUCAUCUUGAACGAGGAAUGCCUUGUAAGCGUGAGUCAUCAACUCGCGCUGAAUACGUCCCUGCCCUUUGUACACACCGCCCGUCGCUCCUACCGAUUGAAUGUUUCGGUGAAGAUUCCGGAUAGGACUUUUUUGAUUUAUUUCAAUUCUGUCUUAAAAGCUAUCUAAACCUCAACAUUUAGAGGAAGGUGAAGUCGUAACA
rnacentral:rRNA from 1 species